rnacentral:lncRNA from 1 species
CGAGCUGUGGUUGAGGCAGAGGGAGUGGUUGCUGAGGUAAAAGAGGUAGCUGUUGAACUCUCAGGAGUCGACGUUAAAGAGCUGUCCUGCGAAUAAAAUGAUUCAGCCUCUCCUAUCUGACGAGUCUCUCGAUCUCGUCACGGAGCUAAUGGCAGUCUUUAGUAUCAUAGCCGUGGUCAUGAUAGUAAAACCAAUACUUAUUGGGGUUGCGGUGGUGCUCCGGCUUC